UCUACGGGCGGCUGCAGUGGGGGAUUUUGCACAAUGCUCGUAACACUGACGCAGCGACGCCGCGUGGAUGAAGAAGGGCUUCGGGGCGUAAAGUUCUGUCGGCAGGGAAGAAAAUGCCUGUAAGUGACGAAGUAUGUCUUGCCAAUACCUGUCUAGUCAGCCCCGGCGAACUCCGGUCCAGCAGCCGCGGUGAUACGGGGGGGGCGAGCGUGGUUAGAAGUGGCUGGGCGUAAAGAGCACGUAGGCGGUGAUGUAAGACAUGAGUGAAAGACUAGAGCUCAACUUCAGUAAGGCUAGUGUUACUACAAUACUAGAGUACCAGAGAGGAUUGCAGAAUUCCUGGUGUAGCGGUGAAAUGCGUAGAUAUCAGGAGGAACACCGGUAGCGAAGGCGGCCAUCUGGCUGGAAACUGACGUUGAGGCGCGAAAGCGUGGGUAGCAAACAGGAUUAGAUACCCGUGUAGUC
rnacentral:rRNA from 1 species